rnacentral:rRNA from 1 species
AACGAACGCUGGCGGCAUGCCUAACACAUGCAAGUCGAACGAGAUCUUCGGGUCUAGUGGCGCACGGGUGCGUAACGCGUGGGAAUCUGCCCUUUGGUUCGGAAUAACAGUUGGAAACGACUGCUAAUACCGGAUGAUGACGAAAGUCCAAAGAUUUAUCGCCAGAGGAUGAGCCCGCGUAGGAUUAGCUAGUUGGUGUGGUAAAGGCGCACCAAGGCGACGAUCCUUAGCUGGUCCGAGAGGAUGAUCAGCCACACUGGGACUGAGACACGGCCCAGACUCCUACGGGAGGCAGCAGUGGGGAAUAUUGGACAGUGGGCGAAAGCCUGAUCCAGCAAUGCCGCGUGAGUGAUGAAGGCCUUAGGGUUGUAAAGCUCUUUUACCCGGGAUGAUAAUGACAGUACCGGGAGAAUAAGCUCCGGCUAACUCCGUGCCAGCCGCCGCUGUAA